UACGUAGGGUGCAAGCGUUGUCCGGAAUUAUUGGGCGUAAAGAGCUCGUAGGCGGUCUGUCGCGUCGAAUGUGAAAAUCCGGGGCUCAACCCCGGACCUGCAUUCGAUACGGGCAGACUAGAGUUCGGUAGGGGAGUCUGGAAUUCCUGGUGUAGCGGUGAAAUGCGCAGAUAUCAGGAGGAACACCGGUGGCGAAGGCGGGUCUCUGGGCCGAUACUGACGCUGAGGAGCGAAAGCGUGGGGAGCGAACAGG
rnacentral:rRNA from 1 species